GGGUUGUGAGGUUAAGCGACUAAGCGUACACGGUGGAUGCCCUGGCAGUCAGAGGCGAUGAAGGACGUGCUAAUCUGCGAAAAGCGUCGGUAAGGUGAUAUGAACCGUUAUAGCCGGCGAUGUCCGAAUGGGGAAACCCAGUGCAAUUCGUUGCACUAUCGUUAACUGAAUACAUAGGUUAACGAGGCGAACCGGGGGAACUGAAACAUCUAAGUACCCCGAGGAAAAGAAAUCAACCGAGAUUCCCCCAGUAGCGGCGAGCGAACGGGGAGCAGCCCAGAGUCUGAAUCAGCUUGUGUGUUAGUGGAACGGUCUGGAAAGUCCGACGGUACAGGGUGAUAGUCCCGUACACCAAAAUGCACAGGCUGUGAACUCGAAGAGUAGGGCGGGACACGUGGUAUCCUGUCUGAAUAUGGGGGGACCAUCCUCCAAGGCUAAAUACUCCUGACUGACCGAUAGUGAACCAGUACCGUGAGGGAAAGGCGAAAAGAACCCCGGCGAGGGGAGUGAAAAAGAACCUGAAACCGUGUACGUACAAGCAGUGGGAGCACCUUCGGGUGUGACUGCGUACCUUUUGUAUAAUGGGUCAGCGACUUAUAUUCUGUAGCAAGGUUAACCGUAUAGGGGAGCCGCAGGGAAACCGAGUCUUAACUGGGCGUUAAGUUGCAGGGUAUAGACCCGAAACCCGGUGAUCUAGCCAUGGGCAGGUUGAAGGUUGGGUAACACUAACUGGAGGACCGAACCGACUAAUGUUGAAAAAUUAGCGGAUGACUUGUGGCUGGGGGUGAAAGGCCAAUCAAACCGGGAGAUAGCUGGUUCUCCCCGAAAGCUAUUUAGGUAGCGCCUCGUGAACUCAUCUUCGGGGGUAGAGCACUGUUUCGGCUAGGGGGUCAUCCCGACUUACCAACCCGAUGCAAACUACGAAUACCGAAGAAUGUUAUCACGGGAGACACACGGCGGGUGCUAACGUCCGUCGUGAAGAGGGAAACAACCCAGACCGCCAGCUAAGGUCCCAAAGUCAUGGUUAAGUGGGAAACGAUGUGGGAAGGCACAGACAGCCAGGAUGUUGGCUUAGAAGCAGCCAUCAUUUAAAGAAAGCGUAAUAGCUCACUGGUCGAGUCGGCCUGCGCGGAAGAUGUAACGGGGCUAAACCAUGCACCGAAGCUGCGGCAGCGACACGAUGUGUUGUUGGGUAGGGGAGCGUUCUGUAAGCCUGCGAAGGUGACCUGUGAGGGUUGCUGGAGGUAUCAGAAGUGCGAAUGCUGACAUAAGUAACGAUAAAGCGGGUGAAAAGCCCGCUCGCCGGAAGACCAAGGGUUCCUGUCCAACGUUAAUCGGGGCAGGGUGAGUCGACCCCUAAGGCGAGGCCGAAAGGCGUAGUCGAUGGGAAACAGGUUAAUAUUCCUGUACUUGGUGUUACUGCGAAGGGGGGACGGAGAAGGCUAUGUUAGCCGGGCGACGGUUGUCCCGGUUUAAGCAUGUAGGCUGGUUAUCCAGGCAAAUCCGGAUAAUCAAGGCUGAGGUGUGAUGACGAGGCACUACGGUGCUGAAGUAACAAAUGCCCUGCUUCCAGGAAAAGCCUCUAAGCAUCAGGUAACAUCAAAUCGUACCCCAAACCGACACAGGUGGUCAGGUAGAGAAUACCAAGGCGCUUGAGAGAACUCGGGUGAAGGAACUAGGCAAAAUGGUGCCGUAACUUCGGGAGAAGGCACGCUGGUGUGUAGGUGAAGUCCCUGCGGAUGGAGCUGAGACCAGUCGAAGAUACCAGCUGGCUGCAACUGUUUAUUAAAAACACAGCACUGUGCAAACACGAAAGUGGACGUAUACGGUGUGACGCCUGCCCGGUGCCGGAAGGUUAAUUGAUGGGGUUAUCCGUAAGGAGAAGCUCUUGAUCGAAGCCCCGGUAAACGGCGGCCGUAACUAUAACGGUCCUAAGGUAGCGAAAUUCCUUGUCGGGUAAGUUCCGACCUGCACGAAUGGCGUAAUGAUGGCCAGGCUGUCUCCACCCGAGACUCAGUGAAAUUGAACUCGCUGUGAAGAUGCAGUGUACCCGCGGCAAGACGGAAAGACCCCGUGAACCUUUACUAUAGCUUGACACUGAACAUUGAGCCUUGAUGUGUAGGAUAGGUGGGAGGCUUUGAAGCGUGGACGCCAGUCUGCGUGGAGCCAACCUUGAAAUACCACCCUUUAAUGUUUGAUGUUCUAACGUUGGCCCCUUACCGGGGUUGCGGACAGUGUCUGGUGGGUAGUUUGACUGGGGCGGUCUCCUCCCAAAGCGUAACGGAGGAGCACGAAGGUUAGCUAAUCCUGGUCGGACAUCAGGAGGUUAGUGCAAUGGCAUAAGCUAGCUUGACUGCGAGCGUGACGGCGCGAGCAGGUGCGAAAGCAGGUCAUAGUGAUCCGGUGGUUCUGAAUGGAAGGGCCAUCGCUCAACGGAUAAAAGGUACUCCGGGGAUAACAGGCUGAUACCGCCCAAGAGUUCAUAUCGACGGCGGUGUUUGGCACCUCGAUGUCGGCUCAUCACAUCCUGGGGCUGAAGUAGGUCCCAAGGGUAUGGCUGUUCGCCAUUUAAAGUGGUACGCGAGCUGGGUUUAGAACGUCGUGAGACAGUUCGGUCCCUAUCUGCCGUGGGCGCUGGAGAAUUGAGGGGGGCUGCUCCUAGUACGAGAGGACCGGAGUGGACGCAUCACUGGUGUUCGGGUUGUCAUGCCAAUGGCACUGCCCGGUAGCUAAAUGCGGAAGAGAUAAGUGCUGAAAGCAUCUAAGCACGAAACUUGCCCCGAGAUGAGUUCUCCCUGAGACUUUAAGUCUCCUGAAGGAACGUUGAAGACGACGACGUUGAUAGGCCGGGUGUGUAAGCGCAGCGAUGCGUUGAGCUAACCGGUACUAAUGAACCGUGAGGCUUAACCUUACAACGCCGAAG
rnacentral:rRNA from 1 species